GGAGCCGGACAGGCCAUCGCUGCGACGCGAGUCGGAGAGGAAAGUCCGGGCUCCAUAGGGCGGGACGCUGGGUAACGCCCAGAGGGGGCGACCCCUGGAGAGUGCCACAGAGAGCAGACCGCCGGCGUUUGCCGGUAAGGGUGAAAGGGUGGGGCAAGAGCCCACCAGGUUGCGCGGCGACGCGCAAGGCUAGGUAAACCCCGUCCGGAGCAAGACCAAAUAGGGAGGCGCAUGGGCCGGCCCGGCCCGGCCUCCGGGUAGGUUGCUUGAGGCGGCGGGCGACCGCCGUCCUAGAGGAAUGAUGGCCGCUCCCACCGGAGGACAGAACCCGGCUUAUAGUCCGGCUCCCGAA
rnacentral:RNase_P_RNA from 1 species